rnacentral:rRNA from 1 species
CCUGGUUGAUUCUGCCAGUAGUCAUAUGCUUGUCUCAAAGAUUAAGCCAUGCAUGUCUGAGUAUAAGCAAUUGUACCGCGAAACUGCGAAUGGCUCAUUAUAUAAGUUAUCGUUUAUUUGAUAGCGCCCUACUACUUGGAUAACCGUGGUAAUUCUAGAGCUAAUACAUGCUAAAAAUCCCGACUCCGGAAGGGAUGUAUUUAUUAGAUUAAAAGCCAACGCCCCCUCACGGGGGCUCAGUGGUGAUUCAUGAUAACUGUUCGAAUCGCACGGCCCUGCGCCGGCGAUGGUUCAUUCAAAUAUCUUCCCUAUCAACUUUCGAUGUUUGGAUAGGGGCCAAACAUGGUGGCAACGGGUAACGGAGGGUUAGGGCUCGACCCCGGAGAAGGAGCCUGAGAGACGGCUACUACAUCCAAGGAAGGCAGCAGGCGCGCAAAUUACCCAAUCCCGACACGGGGAGGUAGUGACAAUAAAUACCGAUACAGGGCUCUUUUGGGUCUUGUAAUUGGAAUGAGUACAACUUAAAUCCCUUAACGAGGAACAAUUGGAGGGCAAGUCUGGUGCCAGCAGCCGCGGUAAUUCCAGCUCCAAUAGCGUAUAUUAAAGUUGUUGUGGUUAAAAAGCUCGUAGUUGAACCUUGGGCCUGGCUGGCCGGUCCGCCUCACCGCGUGUCACUGGUCCGGCCGGGCCUUUCCCUCUGUGGAACCCCAUGCACUUCACUGGGCGUGGCGGGGAAACAGGACGUUUACUUUGAAAAAAUUAGAGUGCUCCAGGCAGGCCUAUGCUCGGAUACAUUAGCAUGGAAUAAUGAAAUAGGACGCGCGGUUUUAUUUUGUUGGUUUCUAGGACCGCCGUAAUGAUUAAUAGGGACAGUCGGGGGCAUCAGUAUUCAGUUGUCAGAGGUGAAAUUCUUGGAUCUACUGAAGACUAACUACUGCGAAAGCAUUUGCCAAGGAUGUUUUCAUUAAUCAGGAACGAAAGUUAGGGGAUCGAAGACGAUCAGAUACCGUCGUAGUCUUAACCAUAAACUAUGCCGACUAGGGAUCGGACGAUGUUAUUCAUUGACUCGUUCGGCACCUUACGAGAAAUCAAAGUGCUUGGGCUCCAGGGGGAGUAUGGUCGCAAGGCUGAAACUUAAAGAAAUUGACGGAAGGGCACCACCAGGGGUAAACCUGCACUGUUCUUAGCCGCAGUCAACUCUGCCCCGGAGAGCCGCCCGAGAGGGUCGGUGGUCGCCCAGGAGAAAAGGCUAGUCCCCCCCGCGCCCGCCCUGCGGGAGGGGGGUGGGCAACACCCUCAAACUGACGGGGAACUCCUAAAGCCCUCGCUCCGGACGGCGCUGGGAAACCGGCGGCCGCUCACCAGGUCAACGACCUCGGGCAUCGGAAGCAACGCGAGGGAUGCCAACAAUGGACGAUCCGCAGCCAAGCCCCUACGUGCCCUGCGCCCCCAGGCGGGAGGCGGGCAUACGGGGAAGGUUCAGAGACUUGACGGGGGUGGGCGGCAAGGUCGGCGGCGGCGGGCAGUCCCCAGCGCUCCAGCGCUCGCAGGGGACGACGCCCCCCCCGCCCGCGACUGCGCCGUCUAAGAUAAAGUCCGUGACCGCGCCGAGAGGCGCGUUCGGUUUCGCCAUCGCCAGCGGCCAGCUGGCUGUCUAGGCGGUGGCG